UGCAACGAUUUUAAAUACCUUAACUUCAAAAAAUUUCUUAUUCUCUGGGGCCAUUUUACUUUUGUUCAGAAAACCACUUUUCCGAGAACAAUACAUACAUACAUCAACUGAAGUCCCGUUUUUUAUGUCGCUGCCGCCGUUUUUCUGAACGUGUGGAUGUACGUCCUCAUGAAAAUGUUUUUGGGCUGUAACAAGAAGUCUUGCUAUGCAGUCUCAACACCUUUAAAAACCAAACAAGAUUUAUUCGUCCAAAUCUGCUACAACUGUUUUGACCCCAGACUUCUUUCUAUGUAAUAUGUGCAUAUUUAAACACGGCAUGUACAGCGGUUUCUUAAUGUCAGGUGGUAAAUAAGUAAUGCACUUUUGUUAACUUUAUUUUUGGCGCGACCAUAUUUUUUCGUGUUGAGAGAAAUAGUGCAAAAAUAUAUCUUAUGAAUUUGCACUAGAUUCCGUUUUCUUUCUUUCCGCGUAUAACUUUCCCAAUUGUUGUUGGUAGAAUAUAAUUUAUGAAAUGUUUCGAAAAACGGAGUUGCAUCCUUACGAAUCUUCAGAUAAUAAUACUUCGCUUACACUAAGAUCACUACUUGAGGGCGGCGCUCGUUAAUUCUGCCAAAUAUUGUUUUUUCACCGAAUGAAAAACUCAACUAAUGCACUUUUAUCGGCACUUUUAACUCCUCCCUUUUUUUUAACAUCUGUACUUAAUUUUCAAUAAAAUUUUUAUUUAUUUAUUUCUGAUGUGUAUUAUAACCAAUCAUUUAUUUCACAGAAAGAAUUUUGUUAAGAAAUAAGCGUUGACAAUUUCGUCCUAUUUCACGAUUUUACACCGACACAAAUUUGCUGGACCAAAUAUUUCAUCGCCAUCUGUCUAUCCUUUUUCUCUAAUUUUAAAGUAAUUAUCUUAUUUUUAUAUUAAAAGCCACGCGUCUAGUCGACAACACCAAAAAUUGAUCCCGACUGCUAUUUGUUUUCAUGGUGAUUUGCUUGUGAAACGUAAAUAAAGAAAUUCAAGCUUCGCUUUUAAAUUGCUUGGUACUUCCGAUUAAUUUAUUAAAUUGUGGGCCUGGGCAAAUUGCUUUGAAGAUGCCACAAUGCGGUGAUGAAUAUGUAGCGCCGGCUAGGAGAAUUCGAUACAAUUACAAUGGGCGUUAGAAACGCUCGCCACAACUAAGCAACGAUUGUUUUCUAUAGUUAUAGCGAUUAGCAGAGAAAAAAUGUUUAGCGAAUUUACUGCCUGAAGAAAAUUUAGCUGAAAAACUACGCUGGAAAUAGUCACAAAAUAAAAAGUCGCCACAUUUCCCACAGUUUAUUGAAGAUUUAGUAUGUAGCUUAUUUGUGAAUUGUAAAGUCCUGUAGAUAUGAAGAACACCAUCUACGUUUGUGGUAUUUUAAUUUUUAAUAUCAUACAUAUUGCAGAAUCUGCCACGGGCAUUCAAAUGGUGAAAAUGAAUGUAGAGAAUGAAGUUUAGACACGAAAAAGUUUAAUAUAGAGAAACACAACGCAAAAAACCUUCGAAACAAGGGCAAAAUUAAAGUCUCACGGUGUACAGAAAGAUAUUGAUGGUAAUCAGAAAUCCACCUUGGCUACUAAUGACUAUGAUUUCAUGUAAGUACUGUUAAGAUGCGCAUACCAUAUUUCAUAAAAAAUGUUUGCUUCAUGUUUUUUGUGGAAAAUCGAUGGCUAUGAUUUACAUCUAAAACUGUACACUUAAAAAUUAUGAAUUACAAAUUUCUAACAUGCUUGUG